CGCACAUUGCGCCUUAUGGUAGUCCGUAAGGCAUGCCUGUUCGAACGUCAUCAAACCCCUCAGGCUCCCGGUCUUUUAGCGAGGCCGGGAUGCCCUGGUGUUGCGCCUCAAGGUUGGCCAGUCUGGCCUUGGGCGCGAAACUGAUCGUGCGGACCCAAUCCGUCGCCAAAGCGUAGUAGGCUUCUGCUCUCGCCUGGCGUCAAGACGGUGAGGUGUCUUGCCGUAGACCCACAAAUCUCUAAGUUUGACUUCGGAUCAGGUAGGGAUACCCGCUGAACUUAA
rnacentral:misc_RNA from 1 species